AUGCAUGGCAUAUCAGAGAAUUCUGUCAGUUCGGUCGCGGCGCAACGAAUGAAUAAAGAUCGUUAGCACUCUGAAAAACAGAUGACAGAUGUGCCCUUAGUUACUACUUUAUUACCUCGUUGAUGACCAACGUUUAGGAAAACAUGUAAUUUUAAUUCACCCUUGGGUGAAAUCGAAGCGUAGUGUGUACUGAAUGCGUGUUGAUGAUGAUGCAUAUGAAUUGCAACUUACACGUCUUCCAAACCUUUUCAGUACCCUGGCACAUGCUUUGUCCAAUGGACCAUGGAAGGGACUUUACUUGGCUGACGAGUACGCAAUGUAUUCUACCCUCAAAAGCAAUAUGAUUUCAGUGAGGGGGACAUGCUCUCUAUCAGGAGGUGGUGGUUGGACAGCUGUUGGAGACCUUUAUGCUUGAAAGCCCUGCAGAACUAGCUGGCUCCUUCUCACCCUCUCCAUCUCCCCAUCUCAGUCACACCUUCCAAUCACUAAGCAGUGAAAGCCCUGCAGGACUAGCUGGCACACCAAGCUCACCCUCUCCAUCUCCCCAUCUCAGCCACACGCUCCAAUCUGGCACAACAGAGGACAGGCCAUUCUUACCACCCGAAGUCCUUCAGCAAAUUGUACAAGAGACGCUGAGAUUGGACAUGGCGAUGCUUGGCGUGUUCAACAGGGUUUCAAACACAUUCCGAGAACUAAUCAAGCCUCUCCAUCCUUCCAUAUAUAUAAAUGACAGUUUGGCAGGGGACAUUAAGCUUAAUAAAGACAAUCUCAUAUACAUAACGGUUAGAAAGAUUUACAACAAUGC